AUGUACAAAAGCCUCAAAGGGCAUCAUGCUCUUUGUGAUGUGCUUAAGAAGCACAUCCUCAACAGGAACCCUAGAAAAGAGGGUAUUGCCUUUGAGAGGAAACUCAAUGCUGAUGGGACUUGCUGGAAGACCGGGCAGUAUCCCAAAACCUCAUGGGUUGCUGCAAAGGGACCUUCAGUGGAUCUAUCUACUUUAUCUGGUUUUACAUGUGUAUCUUCAUAUUCUUCUGAUGAGUCAUUUGACUCCAACUAUAAGCUGUUCAAAAAUCAGAAUGGUGAAGUAUUUGCUAGAUAUGUUGGCACUAACUACAGGAACAGU
rnacentral:rRNA from 1 species